ensembl:lncRNA
CUUUCACCAGACAUGGUGAAUGCCAUAACACGGCUGACAGAGAAAAGACAAGACUGUGGUGUUCUGGCAGAAAACAUAUUCCUGUUUGCCAGACCUCAUUGUCUGACUCCCUACAGAGGACAGGACUGUUUGAGGAUUUAUGCGACUGAAUGUGGGGCUGAAAACCCUGAACACCUACGUUCAACGCAGUUGCGCAAACAUGUCGCAACUUUGUCUCAGAUCUUAAACCUCAAGAAUCACGAGUUAGACCAAGUUGCCAACUUCCUAGGUCAUGAUAUUCGUGUUCAUCGCGAAUAUUAUAGACUUCCAGAGGCUACUACCCAGCUUGCCAAAAUAUCCAAACUACUGAUUGCCAUGGAGAAAGGGUCUCUCAAAAGCCUUCAAGGCAAAACACUUGAAGAGAUUGAAAUCGAAGAUAACCUACAGUUGACAGAUUCAAGUGAAGAAAGUGAGGUCGGAGCGGAGCGUGAGGAGGUCGGAGCGGAGCGUGAGGAGGUCGGAGCGGCGCGUGAGGUCAAUGAAGGAAAUCUUGUAUAUCCACAGAUUGAUUCUAUAGAUACUAGAAUGAUGAAGAAAGUUGUCAAGGAACCUCCAGCACAAAGUAAAAAUGGAGCGGGUAAGGUCAUUGAACCCAACAGAAUACUAAACAAGGAGAUGAAGCCAAGCAGUAAGAAGAAAACAAAUAAACAAUCUGCUUCUCUGGAAAAUGCAAGGAGGGUCAAAAAGCAUCCUUGGUCUCCCACGGAGGUUGCUGCGAUAAUGAAGUAUUUUGGCGAACAUAUCAAAAAAGGAAAACUGGCCACUAUUAUCGAAUGCCAGCAAUGCAAAACUGCAGAAGAUCCUGCUCUGGCUGGUCGUUCUAUUCAAAACAUCAGAGAUUUUGUGAGGAAUCGGGGCGUGUCGUUGAAGAAAAAAGAAAAUCCUAUGUAGAGGAGUCUACAUAACUCCAAAGUACUUCUUGGAGGAGUUACAAAAGAUAUUUUGUAUGUUUUGGUUUCUCAUUUAUUUAUUUUAGAAUUUUACUAUUAGAAGAUUGGUAAAUUCAUUUUGUUGACACUGUUUUAGUGCAUCUGAUCUAAGAGGACAUAUAAUUUUAUAUUGCCAGUUAUUUUCAUUUCUGUUAACAAAACAAUCCUGUUUUUGUAAAAUGCACUCAAUUUGUUCCUUUUAUUCACCUGUUGCCCUUUUAAUACACACAAAAUACAUGUUUGUGUAUGUGUAUGGCCUUUGUCCUGUUAAUAAAGUUAGCCCUGACAAUUACUGUUCAUGUCAGGGGGAGGAGCCAAGUUACCUAAUUAGUGUUGUCCUCUUAUUACACCA